GUGGGCACCCUGAGCCAGGCUGGGGACACGGGGUGCCAGCCCAAGGAGGACGAGCAGAGCCUGCCCGACCCCUAGGUAAAGGGAUUGGGGUCGCCCAGGUGCCCGCCUGGGUCCCCUCCUGGGUCCCUUCUUGGGUCCCCUCCUGCCCUGACGCUGCGUCCCCAGCCGAGCCGGGUUCUCCUGGGGAAACUGAGGCAGGGGGAGCCCAAUCCCCCCGUUCCCAUCCCACCUUCUCCACCCCGAUGGCCCCCAGCCCUGUCCCACCUGUCCCACGUCCCUGUCCCCAUCCCGCCCCCCAAGACAUUAAACAGCGACCUUGAGACAAUGCUCCUUGUUCUGCGGUGUCCUGCAGCGUCCCCGGGUCACACAGUGCCAGGCGCCUGUCCCACGGCCGUGCCUUCCCAGCCCCUCUCUGUCCCCUGCCCACCCCCAUCCGGACCAGCCCCGUCUCCACGGGACCACCCCCCAGGUGCCACCACGGUGCCACCUCUGCGUGACGCUGAGCCCGAGGACCUGCAGGGGCUGCAGGUGGCACCAAGGGGCCCUGAUGGCACGGGGACACUUGGUGCAAGGGGACAUGGGGUAUGGGGACACCUGGCAUGGGGAGGUUGGAAUUUUGGGAUGGGGAUGGUCACCUGGCAAGGGGACACCUGGCAUGGGGCACAUGGCACAGGGUCACUCACUAUGGGGACACAUGGCAAGGGGACGUGGUAUGGGGACACCUGGCAUGGGGACACUGGGGAUGGGGACACCUGGCGUGGGGAAUUUUGGGAUGGAGAUGCCUGGCAUGGGGACACCUGGCAAGGGGACACCUGGCAAGGGGACACAUGGCAUGGGGACACUUGGUACAGGGUUAUCUGCUAUGGGGACACACGGCAAGGGGACACUUGGCAUGCGGGCGCACGGCAAGGAGACGUGGUAUGGGGACACCUGGCAUGGGGAAUCUUGGCACGGGGACACCUGGCAUGGGGACACGUGGCACAGGGUCACCCGCUAGGGGGUCACACGGAUAGGGGACACCUGGCAUGGGGACACCAGGCGUGGGAGGGAGAUGCUUGGCAUGGGGACACCGGGCGUGGGGACAUUUGGUGCGGGGUCACCUGCUAUGGGGUCACAGGGGUGGGGAACACCGGGCAUGGGGACAUGGGGCAUGGGGUCACCAACUAUGGGGUCACAGGGGUAGGGGACACAGGGCAUGGGGUCACCAACUAUGGGGUCACAGGGGUAGGGGACACAGGGCAUGGGGUCACCAACUAUGGGGUCGCACGGGUGGGGGACACUUGGCACGGGG
rnacentral:lncRNA from 1 species